UUUAUGGAGAGUUUGAUCCUGGCUCAGGAUGAACGCUGGCGGCGUGCCUAAUACAUGCAAGUCGAGCGAACGGACGAGAAGCUUGCUUCUCUGAUGUUAGCGGCGGACGGGUGAGUAACACGUGGAUAACCUACCUAUAAGACUGGGAUAACUUCGGGAAACCGGAGCUAAUACCGGAUAAUAUUUUGAACCGCAUGGUUCAAAAGUGAAAGACGGUCUUACUGUCACUUAUAGAUGGAUCCGCGCUGCAUUAGCUAGUUGGUAAGGUAACGGCUUACCAAGGCAACGAUGCAUAGCCGACCUGAGAGGGUGAUCGGCCACACUGGAACUGAGACACGGUCCAGACUCCUACGGGAGGCAGCAGUAGGGAAUCUUCCGCAAUGGGCGAAAGCCUGACGGAGCAACGCCGCGUGAGUGAUGAAGGUCUUCGGAUCGUAAAACUCUGUUAUUAGGGAAGAACAUAUGUGUAAGUAACUGUGCACAUCUUGACGGUACCUAAUCAGAAAGCCACGGCUAACUACGUGCCAGCAGCCGCGGUAAUACGUAGGUGGCAAGCGUUAUCCGGAAUUAUUGGGCGUAAAGCGCGCGUAGGCGGUUUUUUAAGUCUGAUGUGAAAGCCCACGGCUCAACCGUGGAGGGUCAUUGGAAACUGGAAAACUUGAGUGCAGAAGAGGAAAGUGGAAUUCCAUGUGUAGCGGUGAAAUGCGCAGAGAUAUGGAGGAACACCAGUGGCGAAGGCGACUUUCUGGUCUGUAACUGACGCUGAUGUGCGAAAGCGUGGGGAUCAAACAGGAUUAGAUACCCUGGUAGUCCACGCCGUAAACGAUGAGUGCUAAGUGUUAGGGGGUUUCCGCCCUUAGUGCUGCAGCUAACGCAUUAAGCACUCCGCCUGGGGAGUACGACCGCAAGGUUGAAACUCAAAGGAAUUGACGGGGACCCGCACAAGCGGUGGAGCAUGUGGUUUAAUUCGAAGCAACGCGAAGAACCUUACCAAAUCUUGACAUCCUUUGACAACUCUAGAGAUAGAGCUUUCCCCUUCGGGGGACAAAGUGACAGGUGGUGCAUGGUUGUCGUCAGCUCGUGUCGUGAGAUGUUGGGUUAAGUCCCGCAACGAGCGCAACCCUUAAGCUUAGUUGCCAUCAUUAAGUUGGGCACUCUAAGUUGACUGCCGGUGACAAACCGGAGGAAGGUGGGGAUGACGUCAAAUCAUCAUGCCCCUUAUGAUUUGGGCUACACACGUGCUACAAUGGACAAUACAAAGGGCAGCGAAACCGCGAGGUCAAGCAAAUCCCAUAAAGUUGUUCUCAGUUCGGAUUGUAGUCUGCAACUCGACUACAUGAAGCUGGAAUCGCUAGUAAUCGUAGAUCAGCAUGCUACGGUGAAUACGUUCCCGGGUCUUGUACACACCGCCCGUCACACCACGAGAGUUUGUAACACCCGAAGCCGGUGGAGUAACCUUUUAGGAGCUAGCCGUCGAAGGUGGGACAAAUGAUUGGGGUGAAGUCGUAACAAGGUAGCCGUAUCGGAAGGUGCGGCUGGAUCACCUCCUUU
rnacentral:rRNA from 1 species